rnacentral:rRNA from 1 species
GUGAGGAAUUUUCCGCAAUGGGCGAAAGCCUGACGGAGCAAUGCCGCGUGAAGGAUGAAGGCCUAUGGGUUGUAAACUUCUUUUCUCAGAAAAGAAUUAUGACGGUAUCUGAGGAAUAAGCAUCGGCUAACUCUGUGCCAGCAGCCGCGGUAAGACAGAGGAUGCAAGCGUUAUCCGGAAUGAUUGGGCGUAAAGCGUCUGUAGGUUGUUUAAAAAGUAUUCUGUCAAAGAUUAGGGCUUAACCCUAGAUAGGCAGAAUAAACUUUUAAGCUAGAGUUUGGUAGAGGCAGAGGGAAUUCCCGGUGGAGCGGUGAAAUGCGUAGAUAUCGGGAGGAACACCAAAGGCGAAGGCACUCUGCUGGGCCAAUACUAACACUGAGAGACGAAAGCGAGGGGAGCAAAUGGGAUUAGAAACCCCUGUUAGUCC